AUCAUCAGAGCCCCAAAACAUUGAACCGAUCCUUCUACUCUAUAUGCGUUUCAUCCCUUAACAGUAAACCGAUCCUUCUCCAUAUUUGCCCCGAAAACGCUUUUGGAUCUCUCUCAGAGCGAAGAGUACUGCUUUGGUUUGUUUGUUGAUCCACAGUUAUUAGCGCAGAGAGGAGCUGUUGCUUGCGAUUUGCGAAUUUGGAUUUGGAUCAAGUUGUUUGCUUUUGAUUCGUCAUCAGCAAAGUAAUUAGGAAUAGAUUCGACGAAGAGGACCUUUGCUUCAAUUUUAAAGCUUGCAAUAGGAAUUUAUGCACUUGCAACUGUCUCGACUGAAUCAGAUGAGAGAGUUGUAAUGAAUCAAACCACAUAUUACUACACCAGCAAGCAAUGUCCUUAUUCGUUGCUUCAUAAAUAUGUUCGGUACCAAGUUUUGGCAAGUAGCUCAGCUGCAUCCUAAACACGUAUUUUUCUGACACAGAUAUGGCAUGGAGGCCAUCUACUUUGAUGAAGGUGUAAGGAACUCAAGACAACACUAACUGGAAACAAGAGCAUUGGAUGUGACCAUUUGUGAGGACUUGAUAGCAGUAAAUAGAACAAAGAACCAGCUAAAGAUGCGGAGUCUGAACUGCUAUUGUCGACAAGUUUUUUGCGAAG